GAUAUUUACCUAUUAUGGUCCAAUAUCCAAAAUCUAAAUACAUGGUUAGAUUCAGCAUAUCAUAGAACCCCAAUAAUUCAAUUUUUGAUGAAAUCAAAUAAUGUUCAAUUUUAGACCCUUUAGACCUCAAUGUGGACCAAUUUGAUAACCGGGCCCAAAAAUUAAGAAUCUAAAUACACGGUUAGAUUUGGCAUAUCAAAGAACGCCAAUAAUUCAUUUUUUAAUAAAAUCAAACAAAGUUUAAUUUUGGACCCUUUUGACCCCUAAUUCCUAAACUGUUGGGACCAAAACUCCCAAAUCAAUCCCAAACUUCCUUUUGUGGUCAUAAACCUUAUGUUAAAAUUUCAUAGAUU
rnacentral:lncRNA from 1 species